AUUGAACGCUGGCGGCAGGCCUAACACAUGCAAGUCGAGCGGGAACUUCGGUUCUAGCGGCGGACGGGUGAGUAAUGCGUAGGAAGCUACCCGACAGAGGGGGAUACCAGUUGGAAACGACUGUUAAUACCGCAUAAUGUCUACGGACCAAAGUGUGGGACCUUCGGGCCACAUGCUGUCGGAUGCGCCUACGUGGGAUUAGCUAGUUGGUGAGGUAAUGGCUCACCAAGGCGACGAUCCCUAGCUGGUUUGAGAGGAUGAUCAGCCACACUGGAACUGGGACACGGUCCAGACUCCUACAGGAGGCAGCAGUGGGGAAGAUUGGACAAUGGGCGAAAGCCUGAUCCAGCCAUGCCGCGUGUGUGAAGAAGGCCUUCGGGUUGUAAAGCACUUUCAGUAGGGAGGAAGAGUUGAGUGUUAAUAGUACUCAGCUUUGACGUUACCUACAGAAGAAGCACCGGCUAACUCUGUGCCAGCCGCCGCGGUAACAC
rnacentral:rRNA from 1 species